UGAGGAAUAUUGGGCAAUGCCCGCAAGGGUGACCCAGCAACGCCGCGUGGAGGAUGAAUGUCGUAAGAUUGUAAACUCCUGUUAGAGGGGAAGAAUAGUACCGGUUGGACCGGUAUAUGACUGUACCCUCAGAGAAAGCCCCGGCUAACUACGUGCCAGCAGCCGCGGUAAUACGUAGGGGGCAAGCGUUGUCCGGAUUUACUGGGUGUAAAGGGCGCGUAGGCGGCAAUUAAAGUCAGCUGUGAAAUCUCUGGGCUUAACCCGGAACGGCCAGCUGAUACUGCUGUGCUAGAGUGCGGAAGGGGCAAUCGGAAUUCUUGGUGUAGCGGUAAAAUGCGUAGAUAUCAAGAGGAACACCUGAGGUGAAGACGGGUUGCUGGGCCGACACUGACGCUGAGGCGCGAAAGCCAGG
rnacentral:rRNA from 1 species